UGCCACCCAGAGAUUUAACUGUGUGCAAUCAUCCGAUCAAAUAAUUAACACUUCUCAGAAGAUCCAAAACAAGGAUGCAGCUCGGCAAACACUUCCAACAUCCAAAUCCACGAGUUGCUUGCCACUGUCAUAAUCCUCGUCACACAUCCACUUCACACCCCUCGUGGCCGGCCCCAUUUCCCAGAUCCGGUCGCCGGCCGCCUCCACCACACGGAGCUGGCACACUCACCUCCCACAGUACAGCAUGCGUUGGGAGAGAUGCAUGGCAAGUGACCACUCGAUCCCGUGGCUUUCGGUGUUCUAUUAGCGCGCAUAAAUGCGAGGGGGGGUUGAUGGCGUUGUCUUUAGCAGACACCGCCAUGACUGCACUACAUGACGGGACCUAACUGCGAGGAGGCAGCUCGUGGGUCCUCAGACAACACACACGCACGCACAGCGGAAACCCUACGGCAAAGCACAGGGAAAGCCGAGAGGAGAUUGGAGAGAGAGACGGGAUGAGGUGGGCGAAGGCGAUGGACAGCUUCUGAUGGAAUGGCUGGGUCAAGAAAAGCAUCGAAAUUAUUCGAGAAGUUGCUCCAUCCUUCCUUCCUUCCAUGGAUGGCAGGGAAUCACAGCAUGUGAAGGCCCCACCUCCCUCACCAUCGAGGCAAUCACGCAUUUGUUUCAGUGGCAAGUCGCCCUCAGUGUCAAACCCCAUUGACAUGGGACGCAGAGGAUGAGACAGCACUCCGACAACAUCUCGACGGCCGGCACCUCCAACUCCUUCCAUCUCACACCACUGCCAAAAGUUCAAACCUGGACCCAUGAGAUCCCUCUUUCUCUUUGGCCACCGCCAUGCGAAGGAAAGCCAUGGCUGUGGUUGAGCAUGCCUCACCAUGCUCCUUUCAUCGGUCGGCCUCACUCAGCAUGCGGGCGUGGGAUGGAUCAUGGCCGCCAUCGGAGCGGACAAAUGGGACACACUUCACGUGUCUGAAGGCCCAACGGCAGCUACCGCAGUUUUCGGCCUCUUCUCCUCCACCAUCCACAUGGAGGACGAUUAAUCGCAGACUACGACGCUAAUGAGGGAGAUCUCAUCACAAUCUGCAUCCUUCGACGCCUCCUGUUUCCGGCGUCUCCAGCUCCAAGACAACAGGUUGUAGAAGGAGACAACAGCCAACCGUAUCACGUAGACAUCAUCUGUUACAUGUUAAGUCUUGAUAUUUAAUAUCUUUAGUAUUUUACUACAACGCAAUCUUAUUGUUCGAUGCGUCAGCCAAUCGAAUCAAUCUUAAAUGUACGAGUGAGUUCGAUCCUACAAAAACUAAAUCGAGAACUUCUCGCACUACAAAAACCCCCCUCUGAUCUUAAUG